UCAUACCUGCUUAUAUGGAAACGAUGUUAAUACUAGAAAUAGUUUAAAAUAGUUGAUAGUAAAAGCUUAUUGUGGAUUAAGGUAUUCAGCAGAAUUGAAUUGGGAAAAGCCAUGUGAGCAGGUUGAAGCCACACAUGCAGCGUACAUGAAGAAAAUACACUAGUUCGUUGAGGAAACUCUUAAAAACAGUUUCAUCGUAGAAAAGAAUAGAUGGAGAUACUAAGGGACUUAGGCACCUCAGCAGUGAAGCAUCAAAAGUAGCCCCAGUGUAAAUUUGUUGCGUGGUUUCUUCAAAACAGCUACGGCAUAGACAGGAACAAAACUAUUGAAACUCAGACUAAGUGAAGCAGUAAAUUGAGAUUCUUUUAUCAACUGAUCCAUCAUGUUCUAAAUAUCGAGAAGAUAACUCACUGACAAGUAGAAUCAAGACUGUAGAGCUGAUUUUAAAUGUAAAGCCAGGGAGGAGACCAUGGUCAAGGAACAUUUUCCAGAGAUUUCUUUCAUUUAUUCAUACAAUAUCACAACAGCUCACAACAAAUUUUAGUCCACGGGAUCAUGAUAGAACUGAAUAGUGAAGGCCAGUCCAUUCAGCUGACCCCGACUAUUUUGCCUCUGAGCCUUAGUUCAGUUAAGUUGUAUUUCUUUUAUGAUUCAAUCUUUGUUGUAUAAGUUAUGCUUCUAUAACAAGGUACUUCUUUUUGAUCCUCUAACAAGCUUCAGAAGACGUGAUAAUUUAAAAGAGAAACCAUUUUUUCUUUAUAA